CGGCUGCACUGCCGGCUUCGGGCACACAUCGUCGGCCUGCACUGCCACCUUCGUAGACCCAAGUUUCUCUCCCCGCUUUGUCUGGUUUCCUCUAGAAAAAAGAAACAAUUCGUUUGGGAGCCGGAGAUUUGCAACAAAAAAAGGAGCCGGAGAGGAUAAGGUGAAAUCGGCGGCACCGCCGCCGCCGCUACGGGGCACGAGCAUGGAGGCGGCUGGGAUAGUGUGGUGCCACCGCCGCUACAGGGCACGAGCACGGAGGCGGCUGGGAACAGGGGGAGACGAUGGCGGCCUGAGCGGGCGGCGCUGGGCGCCAUGGGGUUCAACAUCUCGCUGGCCUUGACUCGCGCACGUCCCGUUCUGCUCAGGGCACAUCCUGCCUCAGCAGCCACACCUCUCCCUCCAAGCACAGAGCUUGCUGCCCCCACCCCCGUACAAUGAACGAGCAUGCCAAGGAGAGGAGCUCCAUGCGUAUGGGACGCCAGCCGCUCCCCAAUCUUCAGAUCUGACCAACAUGGGAGGAAUUGUUGGAGCACAACCAAAUCCAAACGCCUCACCGGUGAGCACCAUCAUUGCCUGAAGCUUGGAGAGUAUUACUAAUUGCUUGCUAUUCAUUAUUGCCUGAAGCGAGAGAACAUCUCCCGUAAUUGAUAGUUGUUAUAUUAUAUACUUGUGUUUUCUUUACUGUAGAGACCACUGAUUAUUCACCCAUUGAUUAUUCACCCAGAGUAUAAUGUUUGUGACUAACACCUAUUUAUCAACACAUGGGAUGACCAUGUCAUGGGUGAAGAAGUUUGCAAUGGAUCAACCUUGAAGACACUCGGAACAUUUACUUCGAGUGAAGACUCUCGCGGUGCUAUUGCCACUACCCUGACCUCGCCGAUUGUUGACCUCGCUGGCUUGACAGCGUCCUUUGUGAUUCUGAACAUAGGUGCUACUCUCCUGGACACCGCCGACUCAGGUCCUACUCUCCUCGACGCCGCCGACUCAGGUUAUAUCUACAUGUAGCGUUGGAGAAUACUACGUGGAUAACGGUGGCACUAAGGCCUGCAGUAGCGAGUGGAGAGCGCCCAGGCCGAGCUCCCCAAUGUUCAUGUCGUACAGGAGCUAAUCCAUGCUGAGUGGGCCAUAUCGGUCUUUGUCUGCACGCAUUAUUAUAUCCUCUUCUUAUCUCCCCCGCUUGUGCCACCGGAGAAUAUCAAGGAUGUGGCGUCGGCACUGAGCCGCCACUGGUAGGCAAGGGCAUGUGGCCUGGUCAUGAACGAUGAGAUUGGGGUCGGCACACACCAAAGUGACACACAGAGGCAGAGUUCUAUAAAAAAAAUAAGGAAUCCAUCUAAUUCUACUUGACAACCUUCCAACACGAGACCAGGACCAGUAUUCUGAACCUCAUACCAUUAAGGGCAUAUCUGUAUUCUAAGGAAAAUUAGUACACCUGGUAAUUGUUUCUUGACAUGGCUAUUCCAUCGAGGUUUAAUUCUAUGAUACACAACUAAUAGUUUGUUGUUGUAGGUUAUUCCUUUGAAUGAUCUAAGAAAUAUAUUUGGAUUAGGGAAGCAUGAAGCACAAGCAAUCACCUCAGAUAUCGAAUCUCGAGCAUACAGAAAUAAGCUUAUAAAAUCCUUUAGUACUGAUUUGGUUGUUGCUCCUAACAAAGCAUCAUUCCUCCAAAAUCUCUGUCAAGAGUUACAACUUGAUCCUGAACUUGCUAGCAAGAUGCAUAAAGAUACCAAGCUGACACUUGUUUUUUGUAUUGCAUCAUUAAUUUUACAGCAUAGUUCUAUGUUAGCUCAAAAUUUGAUCUUGCUCCUGCUAGCAAGAUGUGUACCAUAUUAGCUACAGUUUGAAGGAUAUAAUCCUUUUGUUUCAAGACUGAUGGUUAAACAUUCCUCCAGUGUGAAAGUUAUUAUUUUCUGUUCAAAUUUCUUCGUUACAUUCCUUCGGUGUGAAAGUUAUUAGUUUCAGUUUGAAGGAUAUAAUUUUAACUAUAUGCAUUUGGCUAUCAAACAGCUUUUUUGCUAUCCGAUUUUGAAUUUGCAAAAGUUGCUUCUGUUCUAUAUAGGUGUACAGUUUUCAUGCUAACUGGAAAGUACCAAAGUACCAAAGUUGUCUAUCCUAGCUGCACCAAACUACAUUUUUCUUGUUUUAUUAAUAUGAGAUAUAUAAGAAAGUGCAGCGGGAAUGGCUUGUACUCAUGCUUGAGGAUAUUUGGCUUAGGCUCCUGGACUGCCUCAUGGCCACAGUGCAGAUAGGACACUUGUGGUUAUCUUCAUGUCUCAUUGGUGGUCAGAGAAACAAAACAAAGCUGGAGUGGAAGGUUGAAACAAAACAAAGGAUCUAGGACUAGGAGUUUCAAUACGUUGUUAAAAAUUGUGCCAAACAUUAAGGUUGAUUUCAGUUCAUUUGCAUAUGUGUUCAUCCUUCUAGCAUAAGAAAAAUAUGGUGCUUUUCUUGAAAAUUUUGUGGCUUAGUUCUGGAAAGCAUUAAGUUUCCAUACAUACUGGUACUGAUCAAUCCAUCCCUCUGAAAACAUGACACCCUAUUUCAUAUGCUUCCUAUAAGCUAUGCACACGCCAUCUCGCCAAGCACUGAUAACAUGUUUCAUUUAAGAGAUCAUUUGAGAUUUGCAUAAUUGUUUUGAGAAUGGGCAGGGUAGCAUCAACACCGGCCUCGAUCAGUGUCGGGGCAAUGGUGAACCGACAAAGAAGGCAGCUCGGGUAGGGUGGCGCAGGACAUCGACACCGGCCACGACCAACGUCAGAGGAUGGGUCAUUGGGACGGAAGGAGGAAGACAAAGAGGAUGAAGAAGACGGCGAUCACAAAUUUUUUAUCAUCGAUAAAAACAGGCGACCGAUGCAUAGUUGCUCUCAUACUAUCCGCUAAAGAAAUUGAUAAGAGGCGAUAUAGAUUCUAAGGACUUCAGACAUGUCACUUGGUCAUCAGUUUGAUUUAUUCAUGUAUUUUGCCCGUAGCAACGCACGGGCAUUGUACUAGUAUAUCUCAUAUAAGUUCAACACUGGCGUGAAAAGGACAAGAUGAUGUG